rnacentral:rRNA from 1 species
AGCAUGUGGUUUAAGUUUCGUAUGAUACGCGAGAAACCUUACCUAGGGCUUGUACAUAUACAGGAAUGUUGUAGAGAUACAGCAGCCGCUUGCGGUCUGUAUACAGGUGCUGCAUGGCUGUCGUCAGCUCGUGCUGUGAAGUGUUGGGUUAAGUCCCGCAACGAGCGCAACCCUAUCAUCUGUUGCCAGCAUUUAAGGUGGGGACUCAGAUGAGACUGCCGGUGACAAACCGGAGAAGGUGGGGACGACGUCAAGUCAUCAUGGCCCUUAUGUCCUGGGCUACACACGUGCUACAAUGGCCGGUACAGAGUGAAGCGAAACCGCGAGGUGAAGCAAAACGCAGAAAGCCGGUCUCAGUACGGAUUGGAGUCUGAAACUCGACUUCAUGAAGUUGGAAUCGCCAGUAAUCGCGCAUCAGCAUGGCGCGGUGAAUACGUUCCCGGGCCUU